UGGGGAAUAUUGCACAAUGGGGGAAACCCUGAUGCAGCAACGCCGCGUGAAGGAAGACGGUUUUCGGAUUGUAAACUUCUUUUCUUAGUGAAGAAACAAAUGACGGUAGCUAAGGAAUAAGCAUCGGCUAACUACGUGCCAGCAGCCGCGGUAAUACGUAGGAUGCGAGCGUUAUCCGGAUUUACUGGGUGUAAAGGGAGCGCAGGCGGGACUGCAAGUUGGAUGUGAAAUACCGCAGCUUAACUGCGGAGCUGCAUCCAAAACUGUAGUCUGAGUGGAGUAGAGGCAAGCGGAAUUCCGAGUGUAGCGGUGAAAUGCGUAGAUAUUCGGAGGAACACCAGUGGCGAAGGCGGCUUGCUGGGCUCUAACUGACGCUGAGGCUCGAAAGUGUGGGGAGCAAACAGGAUUAGAUACC
rnacentral:rRNA from 1 species